rnacentral:rRNA from 1 species
UCGGGAAUUUUGCGCAAUGGGGGAAACCCUGACGCAGCAAUACCGCGUGUGGGAUGAAGGCCUUCGGGUCGUAAACCACUUUUUUCGGGGACGAUAAUGACGGUACCCGAAGAAUAAGCCACGGCUAACUACGUGCCAGCAGCCGCGGUAAUACGUAGGUGGCGAACGUUGUCCGGAUUUACUGGGCGUAAAGCGCGCGCAGGCGGACUGAUAAGUCAGAGGUGAAAUCUCCCGGCUCAACUGGGAGGG